AGGGUUUACAAUGCAAAAAGCAGCAGAUUUGUAUUUUAGGAUAUUUAACAGGGUCUAGUCUCACUCAAGUCCUUGCUAUUGUUCCCAAAGAUGUCCUUAUUCCUUCAGAAAAAGAUAAAUGGUUGCAAUUGUCCCUAUUAGGAUGGAGAAUAAUCAAAAGGAAAGCACUUCCUCACUAAUUCCCAUCUCCAUAGAAACCGCUCAGCUCCCAAGCCCCUUGUCCACAUCCAUCAGUCAACAGGGUUUUCUGAUAUUAGGCAGUCAGAGCCAGAAUCCUGCAUUCCUUCACAUUGUGAUACCUUGAAGGGUGAGUUGAAAGAACAGAAAGACUUGUGCCAAAUUUUUAAAGAACGAUCUAAUCAAAGA
rnacentral:lncRNA from 1 species